UCUAGAACUCAAGAUAUGGGCUGAACACUGAACAGUGUCUGGGCUCCAUGAUAGAUUCGGACUUGAAAACGGCAUUUUUAUAUCUUGGACUCCCAUGAAACUCCCAUGAAAGUUUUAGGCCUAUAUCUUAGCUUUCCAUC
rfam:Populus trichocarpa isolate Nisqually-1 chromosome 1, whole genome shotgun sequence.